CCGGACGACAUCGGACAACGACGUACCUGCAUGGGGUGCAGGUGGUCGGAGGUUCAAAUCCUCUCGCCCCGACCA
rnacentral:tRNA from 1 species